rnacentral:rRNA from 1 species
AAGGUGGGGAUGACGUCAAGUCAUCAUGGCCCUUACGACCAGGGCUACACACGUGUUACAAUGGCGCAUACAAAGAGAAGCGACCUCGCGAGAGCAAGCGGACCUCAUAAAGUGCGUUGUAGUCCGGAUUGGAGUCUGCAACUCGACUCCAUGAAGUCGGAAUCGCUAGUAAUCGUGGAUCAGAAUGCCACGGUGAAUACGUUCCCGGGCCUUGUACACACCGCCCGUCACACCAUGGGAGUGGGUUGCAAAAGAAGUAGGUAGCUUAACCUUCGGGAGGGCGCUUACCACUUUGUGAUUCAUGACUGGGGGAAGUC